AGGGUUUGAUCAUGGCUCAGGACGAACGCUGGCGGCGUGCCUAAUACAUGCAAGUGGAACGCAUGAUUGAUACCGGAGCUUGCUCCACCAUUAAUCAUGAGUCGCGAACGGGUGAGUAACGCAUAGGUAACCUACCUCAUAGCGGGGGAUAACUAUUGGGAACGAUAGCUAAUACCGCAUAACAGUAUUUAUCGCAUGGUAAAUGCUUGAAAGGAGCAACUGCUUUACUAUGAGAUGGACCUGCGUUGUAUUAGCUAGUUGGUGGGGUAACGGCUCACCAAGGCAUCGAUACAUAGCCGACCUGAGGGGGUGAUCGGCCACACUGGGACUGGGACACGGCCCAGACUCCUACGGGAGGCAGCAGUAGGGAAUCUUCGGCAAUGGGGGGAACCCUGACCGAGCAACGCCGCGUGAGUGAAGAAGGUUUUCGGAUCGUAAAGCUCUGUUGUAAGAGAAGAACGUGUGUGAGAGUGGAAAGUUCACACAGUGACGGUAACUUACCAGAAAGGGACGGCUAACUACGUGCCAGCCGCCGCGGUAAUAC
rnacentral:rRNA from 1 species